AAGAAAAAAGAAAAGAGAGGGAGAGAGAGAAACUAGAAAUGCUUAUAGUUCUCUUUUAAAAACGAGUAUUGUUCCUGUUUGACCUACUUAGGCUUAUGUACUGUCAGCAAGAGCGCAAAGGCAACAGGUAUCCACAUAUCUUCAUCUUACACCUACACAGAAAACCACAUGGUGUUAGUGUUGAAUCUAUUUGAGCUGACCAUGAAGUUCCCAUUGCACUGAAUUAUCCUUUCAUUUAUUAUCCCACAAGCUCAAUGCCAGAAGGCUUUAGUCUUGGAUUAAGAAAUCAAAAUAGCUGGUUGCAAUAAACAAAGCCUACUGAUGUAAGAGAAGAUGUUCCAAGCCCUAAUCUUCAGUCUUGGCCUCAGAUACUUCUGAUCUUACAACAGAUCUCAGGCUUCGCUGUCGCCUCUCACACAUGUUACGAGAUGGAGAUGUCAGUUCAGCUUCACUUCUCACCUGUCUUUGCUGAGGCUGAAAUUCAGCUGCAGCAGCUCAGCUGCUCCCUGCAUUUCAUGACUAUUCAUGUAUUUAAAGCAUACUUUGGAGCCUGGUAAAUUAUAUGGAGGGAGUGACCAUCCUGCUGGCUGGGAGCUCAGCUGUGCACUCCAAUAGCUUAAAAGAAGCUGUUCUUUCCUGCCAUUUGUCCAUCACUUCACUUCGGCUUUGGGCAAUUCAAAUUCCCAAUUUGAUCCAGUCCCCAGUUCAGUGAUUGAGAUAUCUGCUGCACAUCCUCAUCAGAUGCACAUCCUUUCAUCAGGUUUCUGACACAUCUUUCCACCUCAGCCACGUGAGAGUACGUGGAGGCAAAGGGUGUCAGCCCCCCCAACUCAAGGAGGCAGCAGUGCCCACCAGGCCAAGCCUGAGAAAAAGGAGAAGGAGACACCCUCACUGAGCACUCUGCUUAAAGUGGUCACACCACCUCCUUCAGCCUCCUGAGGGGAAGAGGAGCAAAAAGAGCACGGCACCAGCAAAGACCUGCUGUUUGCUUUCCUGGCUCUUGCACCUCUUUAAAGAUGCAAAUGCUGCACCCCAGGUAAGACAGUACCUGACUUUUGUGGAGUAUGCUGGAACACCUGGAACAAAGGCUGGUUCUACACCAGUGAAAUGAAACAAAAAAAUCACAAGAGUGAAGUGACUGGAAUCAUUUGGACUGGAAAGAAUGGCAUGACAAGGAAUAAUCAAGAAAUGGGCACUCAAAUUCCAUGAAAAAUAACGGGUGUGCUGCUGCCCAGGGACUCAGGGAAGAGAGGGAAUCAAGUGAACACGCAGCACAAAAAGGUGCGACUCUUCAGAGUGGUUUGGAAUUAACCUGUAAAAUCUGCUGCUGCAGGGUAUUACUGAACCAAAGCAGUUAGCUCUGUUCAAAUUUGGCACCACAGACCCACCACCGUUAGCUGAGGUGCUCCCUCACCCCAGGGCUGCCUGCAGCCUGGAGACGUAUGAAUAUUCACAGUGACAGCGGCAAGGUUAUCGCCUUACAAAAGGGACAUCCAAUGCUUUACAUCUCUUUGAUGUCUGUUAAGGCUGGGACAAUGCACACACUGCUAAGGGAGGGAAAAAAAGACCGGAGCAGAGAGGAAGAGGGAUAAGAGCAAGUGGGAAGAAAUGAGGGCAACAAACACACUCACGGAACCCAGCUUGGAGAUGAAAAACAACAGGAAGAUUAAAGAAGAAAUCGUACAGAAGGCAUGCUGCAAACAACCAGAGUUGGGAACAGGCCAGGCAAAGAGCCGGGCACUGGCUGCACUACCUUCUCUCAGGUUUUAUACAUUGUUUGGAGAGCUGUGUGUCUGUGACAGGACUGGAAGCGAUGCCCAGCUCUGGACUAUCUGCACUGAAUGCUCAGGAUGCCCAGUGCUGUGAAGAUCUGACUCCUGGCUACGAGAGAAAGUUGCUCACUUCUGUGAUGACAACUGCACCAUUUGCUAAGGUCAGUCUGAGAAGACUUAAAAUUAGAUGAAAGCAC